CAGUGCCGCGGUAAAACGAAGGGGGCUAGCGUUGCUCGGAGUUACUGGGCGUAAAGGGCGCGUAGGCGGACAGUUAAGUCGGGGGUGAAAGCCCGGGACUCAACCUCGGAAUUGCCUUCGAAACUGGCUGUCUUGAGUACGGGAGAGGUGAGUGGAACUCCGAGUGUAGAGGUGAAAUUCGUAGAUAUUCGGAAGAACACCAGUGGCGAAGGCGACUCACUGGCCCGUUACUGACGCUGAGGCGCGAAAGCGUGGGGAGCAAACAGGAUUAGAUACCCGUGUAGUCCCUGUCUCUUAUACC
rnacentral:rRNA from 1 species